rnacentral:lncRNA from 1 species
UUAAUAGUGUCUCCGCCUCCACUCACGUGACAGUCCGCUGACGUCACACUGGGUUUCUCCUCAUCAGUUCCGGCUCAUCGUGAAUUCAUUAAUAUUCAUGUAACUCCCGACACCACACAUAUUUGUCCACGUGGGUAGCUAUUGAGUCAUUGUCGCUGGUCGCGGCAGGGGGCGACCGAGUUUAAUCCGCGAAUUCCCUCGCGAGUUCCUGCUCUGUUCUGACGUCAGCUGCCGGAAGAGCGAUCAUUUCUUGGAAGCGCAGUUUUUGCCGCUGAUGCUGUGCCCCUCCCCACCAUUCACCAAUACACCGGACACUCAUUUUGCCGGCCUCGGAAGGAUGACAGGCUGAGGUCAACCCCACCUGGUGUUCAUUCAGCAGUUAACGGGGCUCGAACUCAGGAACACAAAGAUCCAAAGCCAGCCACCCGAACCACGAAGCCAACAACAAGCUCCAAGCUCUCUUCUGUCACAACGUGCCCGUGAGCGAAUCUGCUGUCAGGAAUCGAAAUCACUUUUCCAGUUUCGAUUCCAAGGAACUCCUUGACUGCCUCAGACCCAAAGAAUCUUGUACGAGAGGAGCCGAUCGGACGUCGUACCCAUUACACCACUGUACGGCCACUACGGCGCACGAUGGCCCAAGAUCUCUCCCCCGGUGUUAUCAAGUUGAUGUAUGCUGUUUAUGGUCGCAGCAACAAUGCAGAAAAUACAUUCAUUCAGGAACUUCAGCAGAUUCUGAGGAAGAAUGACCUGCAUUGUGUUAAAAUAUCUGGAAACGCUGAAGAGAGGAAUAAUGCUGCCACAUCAUAUGCCUCGUCGAGACUUCCACUCCUCCUCUUCUGUGUCGCUUCAACUCGGGUUGGCACUGAUGCUAAAGCUGCUCUCGACAUGUACACAGGCACAGAUCAAAAUACUAUCCUGGUGAUUCUGAAUCACAAGCCAAAUACAAAGUACCAGGAAGAUCAACAUAGUGGAAGUAGCAUUCACGAUGUCAAUGUUUCCUUGGUGGUUGAUUGCUUCUUCUGGGAGAGUGAUGGCCUAUACCGUUGUGAGAACAACACCAGGGCUGUGAACCAAGUGGCAGAUUUUCUCUCUCCUUACCUUCCAAGGCAUGCACCGCUUCCACCUACUCGCACAAAUGUCAAAAAGUUGAUAUGCAAAAUAAUGUUGGCUGUUUUUGUCUUUUUGUUGCUUCUACUCAUUGUAAUACUCAUUGUUCACUUAACUUGAUAGGACAAUUGAAAAACCUUUCCAGGUUAGAAAAUAAACAUUUUUCCAUGCAACUAUUAUUCAGCUGAAGUAACAUUCUUCAGAUUUCUUGCUGCGAUAAUCGAAAACUACUUUGCCAAUUUACUCUUUAUCUUAUGCAUUCUUAAACCACUGGAUGAAAUAAGUUGAAAAGUGUGGUGCCAACACUUUCAACUUAUGUCAUCCAGUGGUGACUUUUCUGACCUGACAUCAUGCACACACGCGUAUCACCACGCCACGCAUAUCACCACUCCAUGGAAUUGAUCAAAUGUGCCAUAUGCUCGAGCAAUCAUCAACGUUCGUUUUCUGAGGUACUUCCUGGGAAAAGGUAAUGACUUGCGGUUUGCUAUUCCUUUGCCAGUAGUCAGUCAGAGCAAGAACUUGGAAUUUAACAAGUGUGCCUGAGAUAACUCGCCGACUCUUCAUGACUGCGAAACCAUGGGCUAAUUAAUGUUUUCCUGCAAACGCCGCUGUCAGAUGGCUCCUCUGGCUUAACGUCUUUCCAAUGGACGACACACAUAUUGAUGCCUUUCCCGACAUGCAAAAUACCAGGGUGAUGGUUUAUAGCUCGUUCAAGAUUCAAACCCAGGCAAGACGGCUCAAAGGAGAGUGCACAAACCUCUCGGCUAUCCUUCCAACCCACCACCCACCACCACUCAUUACCAACCUUUUCUGAAAACCUCUGCACUUACAACGAAGUCUUUAUUCACAUAUCUAGUACUCAUUACUUGUUUGUUUAACACAUAAUAUUCAUGAGAUUUUAUUAUGAAGACCACUCAAUGAUGCAUGCUGGGAGCAAUACCAUUUGGUGACGUUUUCAAUUUUGAUUGGGGGCUUGUGAUGGAUCAUUCUUUGCUUGUUAUGAUGUGAGAUUGUAUUUUGCCAAAUGCAAAUAAAGUCCCUCAAAUAAGACGAGUGUGUCAAUGUAACGUUACAAAUUAGAUAUUGUUUUAGUGUGAAAAACAUUUGCCUGAAUUGUUAUUCAAAGCCAAUUUUUCUGUUGCUUAUGCAAAUGUUUAUUAAAAAGAAAAAAAACAUUGAUGUGUAUUAUUUUUAUAGAAUUUUCAACCUCAUUUAUUACCUCCACCACUGAAGGUGAGAAGGAGGUUAUGUUUUCACCCCUUUCUUUCUGUCUGUCUCUGUGUACAGGAUAUCUCAAGUUUGGACGGAUCCGGAUGAAAUUUUGUCGACAGGUUCGGUGUGUGACAAGGACGAACUGAUUAGAUUUUGGUGAAGAUCCGGAUCCGACAACUAGAAGUUUUUUAGUGAUUCUUCAUCAUUGAGAGAUCAGGCCAAAAACAGUAGCACGAUAUCUCAAAAAGUUGUCGACGGAUUCGGAUGAAAUUUUGUGUACAUUCGGUGUGUGACAAGGAUGAACUGAUUAGAUUUUGGUGAAGAUCCGGAUCCGGAUCUGACUACUAGAAGAUUUUCAGUGAUUCUUCACCAUUGAGAGAUGAGGCCAAAACAAAUGUAGCAUGAUAUCUCAAAAAGUUCUGAAGCAAUCAGAACUUAGUGAACACAUCUGGAUAUUUACUAAGACCAACAUUCCAGUUGAGCUAAAAUAAUAUCUCCAAUCAAGCUUGCUGGUGCCUUAUAUUAAUCAUUUCAUUAAAAUCCCAUAGUAAGCAUGAUAUAUUUAAAUGAUAGGCAAUUUUUUUUUCUGAAUAAUAACUAAAGCUUACUUGAAAGGUCAGCUUGUUUUGAACACCUUUACUCAGCAGGUUGAUUAUCCUUAAAUACAGAGGAAAGAUAUUUCUAUACAGUAUUAAAUUUAAAUUCAAACAGAUACAUGUUCAAGCACAUUGAAUUGUAAUAAUCAUACCAUUUUCAAGUACAUUAUCCAUUAAAUAUUUAAAACAAUACAUUUAUUUUUAUGAAAAUUCAUUGACAGCAUUUUAUUAUUGUUUUUUAUCACCCUCAAACCCAUAAUUCUAAUUUUGAAGAAAUUGCAUCGACAAUACCUUUCAAGUAAAUCUUCAAAGAACAUUGAAACAUUGGGUAAAUUCUGUGAUGUCCAUCUUGGUGGGAGGUUAUUAAUACAUAUAUUUAGGUCAUUGUGAAAUUCCUGACAAACAAACUGGAUAUCUGUCAGGACGUCAUUCAGAGCUUUCCAUUCCUUGUGAAGAUCAUUUGCAUAACAAUCCACCUCGCUUAUGAGAGUUUGAAAUGCUGUAAUAAAAAGGAAAAAACAAAUAAUUAGUUAUAUAAUUAAUCGUACACAAUAAAAAUGAAGACCAAUUACUGCACCAUAGUUCCAAGAAGAAAGCCAGACUUAACAACACACACACACACACACACACACACACACACACACACACACACACACACACACACACACACACACACCCCCCCCCCCCCCCCCCCCCCCCCCCCCCCCCCCCCCCCCCCCCCCCCCCCCCCCCCCCCCCCCCCCCCCCCCC